UACGUAGGGUGCGAGCGUUAAUCGGAAUUACUGGGCGUAAAGCGUGCGCAGGCGGUUCGUUUGUGUCGGCGGUGAAAGCCCCGGGCUUAACCUGGGAAUGGCCGUUGAAACUGGCAAACUGGAGUACUGCAGGGGAGACUGGAAUUCCUGGUGUAGCGGUGAAAUGCGCAGAUAUCAGGAGGAACACCGGUGGGCGAAGGCGGGUCUCUGG
rnacentral:rRNA from 1 species